GACGUAGGGCGCGAGCGUUGUCCGGAAUUAUUGGGCGUAAAGAGCUCGUAGGCGGUUUGUCGCGUCUGCCGUGAAAGUCCGGGGCUCAACUCCGGAUCUGCGGUGGGUACGGGCAGACUAGAGUGAUGUAGGGGAGACUGGAAUUCCUGGUGUAGCGGUGAAAUGCGCAGAUAUCAGGAGGAACACCGAUGGCGAAGGCAGGUCUCUGGGCAUUAACUGACGCUGAGGAGCGAAAGCGUGGGGAGCAAACAGG
rnacentral:rRNA from 1 species